UACGGGGGGUGCAAGCGUUGUUCGGAUUUACUGGGCGUAAAGGGCGCGUAGGCGGUCAGCACAAGUCAGUUGUGAAAUCUCCGGGCUUAACUCGGAAAGGUCAACUGAUACUGUGCGACUAGAGUGCAGAAGGGGCAACUGGAAUUCUCGGUGUAGCGGUGAAAUGCGUAGAUAUCGAGAGGAACACCUGCGGCGAAGGCGGGUUGCUGGGCUGACACUGACGCUGAGGCGCGAAAGCCAGGGGAGCGAACGGG
rnacentral:rRNA from 1 species